rnacentral:rRNA from 1 species
UACGAAGGGGGCUAGCGUUGCUCGGAAUCACUGGGCGUAAAGCGCACGUAGGCGGACUCUUAAGUCGGUGGUGAAAUCCUGGAGCUCAACUCCAGAACUGCCUUCGAUACUGGGAGUCUCGAGUCCGGGAGAGGUGAGUGGAACUGCGAGUGUAGAGGUGAAAUUCGUAGAUAUUCGCAAGAACACCAGUGGCGAAGGCGGCUCACUGGCCCGGUACUGACGCUGACGGUGCGAAAGCGUGGGGAGCAAACAGG